rnacentral:rRNA from 1 species
GACGAACGCUGGCGGCGUGCUUAACACAUGCAAGUCGAACGAUGAAGCCGGAGCUUGCUCUGGUGAAUUAGUGGCGAACGGGUGAGUAACACGUGAGUAACCUGCCCUUGACUCUGGGAUAACUGCGGGAAACUGUAGCUAAUACCGGAUACGACCCUCGGAGGCAUCUCCUGGGGGUGGAAAGAAUUUCGGUCAAGGAUGGACUCGCGGCCUAUCAGCUAGUUGGGGAGGUAAUGGCUCACCAAGGCGACGACGGGUAGCCGGCCUGAGAGGGUGACCGGCCAAGCUGGGACUGAGACACGGCCCAGACUCCUACGGGAGGCAGCAGUGGGGAAUAUUGCACAAUGGGCGCAAGCCUGAUGCAGCGACGCCGCGUGAGGGAUGAAGGUCUUCGGAUUGUAAACCUCUUUCAGUAGGGACGAAGCGAAAGUGACGGUACCUAAAGAAGAAGCACCGGCUAACUACGUGCCAGCAGCCGCGGUAA